rnacentral:rRNA from 1 species
GGAAUGAGCCAUGGCCGAAAUCUACAUGGCCUUUGGAUUGGACUGCGGCCGAUCAGGCUGUUGGUGAGGUAAUGGCCCACCAAACCUGUUACCGGUACGGGCUUUGAGAGAAGUAGCCCGGAGAUGGGCACUGAGACAAGGGCCCAGGCCCUAUGGGGCGCAGCAGGCGCGAAACCUCUGCAAUAGGCGAAAGCCUGACAGGGUUACUCUGAGUGAUGCCCGCUAAGGGUAUCUUUUGGCACCUCUAAAAAUGGUGCAGAAUAAGGGGUGGGCAAGUCUGGUGUCAGCCGCCGCGGUAAUACCAGCACCCCGAGUUGUCGGGACGAUUAUUGGGCCUAAAGCAUCCGUAGCCUGUUCUACAAGUCCUCCGUUAAAUCCACCUGCUCAACAGAUGGGCUGCGGGGGAUACUAUAGGGCUAGGAGGCGGGAGAGGCAAACGGUACUCAGUGGGUAGGGGUAAAAUCCAUUGAUCUACUGAAGACCACCAGUGGCGAAGGCGGUUUGCCAGAACGCGCUCGACGGUGAGGGAUGAAAGCUGGGGGAGCAAACCGGAUUAGAUACCCGGGUAGUCCCAGCCGUAAACGAUGCAGACUCGGUGAUGGGUUGGCUUCGCGCCAACCCAGUGCCGCAGGGAAGCCGUUAAGUCUGCCGCCUGGGGAGUACGGUCGCAAGACUGAAACUUAAAGGAAUUGGCGGGGGAGCACCACAAGGGGUGAAGCCUGCGGUUCAAUUGGAGUCAACGCCGGA